rnacentral:misc_RNA from 1 species
GAUGAAGAACGUAGCGAAAUGCGAUAAGUAGUGUGAAUUGCAGAAUUCAGUGAAUCAUCGAAUCUUUGAACGCACAUUGCGCCCCUUGGUAUCCCGAGGGGCAUGCCUGUUCGAGCGUCAUUUCACCACUCAAGCCUGGCUUGGUGUUGGGCGACGUCCCCUUAGGGGACGCGCCUCGAAACGCUCGGCGGCGUGGCACCGGCUUUAAGCGUAGCAGAAUCUUUCGCUUUGGAAGUCGGGGCCCCGUCUGCCGGAAGACCUACUCGCAAGGUUGACCUCGGAUCAGGCAGGGAUACCCGCUGAACUUAAGCAUAUCAAUAAGCGGAGGA